rnacentral:rRNA from 1 species
UACGGAGGGUGCAAGCGUUAUCCGGAUUCACUGGGUUUAAAGGGUGCGUAGGAGGGCAGGGAAGUCAGUGGUGAAAUCUCCGGGCUUAACUCGGAAACUGCCGUUGAUACUCUCUGUCUUGAAUCCCGUGGAGGUGAGCGGAAUAUGUCAUGUAGCGGUGAAAUGCUUAGAUAUGACAUAGAACACCAAAUUGCGAAGGCAGCUCGCUACACGAAGAUUGACUCUGAGGCACGAAAGCGUGGGGACAAACAGGA